rnacentral:rRNA from 1 species
ACUCCUACGGGAGGCAGCAGUAGGGAAUUUUCCGCAAUGGACGAAAGUCUGACGGAGCAAUGCCGCGUGAGUGAUGAAGGUUUUCGAAUCGUAAAGCUCUGUUGUAAGGGAAGAAUAGCAAGAAUAGGAAAUGAUUCUUGUCUGACGGUACCUUACCAGAAAGCCACGGCUAACUACGUGCCAGCAGCCGCGGUAAUACGGAGGGUGCAAGCGUUAUCCGGAUUCACUGGGUUUAAAGGGUGUGUAGGCGGGCUAUUAAGUCAGUGGUGAAAUCUCCGGGCUCAACCCGGAAACUGCCAUUGAUACUAUUAGUCUUGAAUUUUGUUGAGGUAGGCGGAAUAUAUCAUGUAGCGGUGAAAUGCAUAGAUAUGAUAUAGAACACCGAUUGCGAAGGCAGCUUACUAAAGCAAAUAUUGACGCUGAGGCACGAAAGCGUGGGGAUCAAAACAGGAUUAGAUACCCUGGUAGGCUCU